rnacentral:rRNA from 1 species
GCCUUGGUUAUCAGAGCGACUUGGUCCCACCCUUUCCCAUCCCGAACAAGGAAGUGAAACAAGUCAGCGCCGAUGAUACUCACUCCAAAGCGGAGCUGGGGAAAGUAGGUCAUAGCCGAGGCU